AUUGAACGCUGGCGGCAGGCCUAACACAUGCAAGUCGAGCGGAUGAAGGGAGCUUGCUCCUGGAUUCAGCGGCGGACGGGUGAGUAAUGCCUAGGAAUCUGCCUGGUAGUGGGGGGUAACGUCCGGAAACGGGCGCUAAUACCGCAUACGUCCUGAGGGAGAAAGUGGGGGAUCUUCGGACCUCACGCUAUCAGAUGAGCCUAGGUCGGAUUAGCUAGUUGGUGGGGUAAAGGCCUACCAAGGCGACGAUCCGUAACUGGUCUGAGAGGAUGAUCAGUCACACUGGAACUGAGACACGGUCCAGACUCCUACGGGAGGCAGCAGUGGGGAAUAUUGGACAAUGGGCGAAAGCCUGAUCCAGCCAUGCCGCGUGUGUGAAGAAGGUCUUCGGAUUGUAAAGCACUUUAAGUUGGGAGGAAGGGCAGUAAGUUAAUACCUUGCUGUUCUGACGUUACCAACAGAAUAAGCACCGGCUAACUUCGUG
rnacentral:rRNA from 1 species